UACGAAGGGGGCUAGCGUUAAUCGGAAUUACUGGGCGUAAAGCGUGCGCAGGCGGUUAUAUAAGACAGUUGUGAAAUCCCCGGGCUCAACCUGGGAACUGCAUCUGUGACUGUAUAGCUAGAGUACGGUAGAGGGGGAUGGAAUUCCGCGUGUAGCAGUGAAAUGCGUAGAUAUGCGGAGGAACACCGAUGGCGAAGGCAAUCCCCUGGACCUGUACUGACGCUCAUGCACGAAAGCGUGGGGAGCAAACAGG
rnacentral:rRNA from 1 species